GCUUUACAUGUCGACAGUAAUAUGUUGGUGGUUCGGAGCUUGGGAAAAGCCUUUUUGUAUGAUUUCAAGUCUCGUGCAACAAAAUGCAUUCCUGGUGAAUUUCACAAUUCGAGAUGCUUGCCCUAUGUCAACAGUUUAGUCUCUCUCUAGUCUCUGCUUGAGCUGCAACAUCCUUGUUUGAAAUUUCUUUCAUGAUUAAGUAUUUUGCCUAUUUUAUAUUUCAUGUUAUUAUUAUUUUCAAGUGACAAUGU
rnacentral:misc_RNA from 1 species